rnacentral:rRNA from 1 species
GCAUAUCAAUAAGCGGAGGAAAAGAAACCAACAGGGAUUGCCCCAGUAACGGCGAGUGAAGCGGCAACAGCUCAAAUUUGAAAUCUGGCCCCCGGGUCCGAGUUGUAAUUUGUAGAGGAUGCUUUUGGCGAGGUGCCUUCCGAGUUCCCUGGAACGGGACGCCAUAGAGGGUGAGAGCCCCGUCUGGUCGGACACCGAGCCUCUGUAAAGCUCCUUCGACGAGUCGAGUAGUUUGGGAAUGCUGCUCAAAAUGGGAGGUAUAUGUCUUCUAAAGCUAAAUAUUGGCCAGAGACCGAUAGCGCACAAGUAGAGUGAUCGAAAGAUGAAAAGCACUUUGAAAAGAGGGUUAAAAAGUACGUGAAAUUGUUGAAAGGGAAGCGCCUAUGACCAGACUUGGGCCCGGUGAAUCACCCAGCGUUCUCGCUGGUGCACUUCGCCGGGCACAGGCCAGCAUCAGUUUGGCGCGGGGGAGAAAGGCUUCGGGAAUGUGGCUCCCCCGGGAGUGUUAUAGCCCGUUGCGCAAUACCCUGCGCUGGACUGAGGUACGCGCAUUCGCAAGGAUGCUGGCGUAAUGGUCAUCAGCGACCCGUCUUGAAACACGGACCAAGGAGUCGUCUUCGUAUGCGAGUGUUCGGGUGUCAAACCCCUACGCGUAAUGAAAGUGAACGCAGGUGAGAGCUUCGGCGCAUCAUCGACCGAUCCUGAUGUUCUCGGAUGGAUUUGAGUAAGAGCAUACGGGGCCGGACCCGAAAGAAGGUGAACUAUGCCUGUAUAGGGUGAAGCCAGAGGAAACUCUGGUGGAGGCUCGCAGCGGUUCUGACGUGCGAAUCGAUCGUCAAAUAUGGGCAUGGGGGCGAAAGACUAAUCGAACCUUCUAGUAGCUGGUUUCCGCCGAA